AAAUGAGAUUCGGUCAGAGGGGGUAACACUUCUCGGGCUGUCAACCUCCACCCUUGUGUAUUUUGCAAUUGUUGCUUUGGUGGGCCGCGACCCUCACGGGGAGCACCGGCUUCGGCUGGAGAGCGCCUGCCAGAGGAUCCCAACUCUGUAUUUUGUAACAUCUGAGUACUAUAUAAUAGUUA
rnacentral:misc_RNA from 1 species